UAGCUAGUUGGCGGGGUAAUGGCCCACCAAGGCGACGAUCAGUAGCCGGCCUGAGAGGGUGAUCGGCCACACUGGAACUGAGACACGGUCCAGACUCCUACGGGAGGCAGCAGUGGGGAAUUUUGCGCAAUGGACGAGAGUCUGACGCAGCAACGCCGCGUGGGUGAUGAAGGUCUUCGGACUGUAAAACCCUGUCGUCAGGGACGAAGGCAGCAGCGUUAAUAGCGUUGUUGCUUGACGGUACCUGGAGAGGAAGCCCCGGCUAACUCUGUGCCAGCAGCCGCGGUAAUACAGAGGGGGCAAGCGUUAUUCGGAAUUAUUGGGCGUAAAGGGCGCGUAGGCGGUUUUUUAAGUCAGAUGUGUAAUCCCCCGGGCUCAACCUGGGAACUGCAUCUGAGACUGGAAGGCUAGAGUACUGGGAGAGGGUGGUGGAAUUUCUUCGUGUAGCGGUGAAAUGCGUAGAGAUGAGGAGGAACACUAGUGGCGAAGGCGGCUACCUGGACAGUAACUGACGCUGAGGCGCGAAAGUGUGGGUAGCAAACAGGAUUAGAUACC
rnacentral:rRNA from 1 species